CUCGAGUGCAUGAAGCUGGAAUCGCUAGUAAUCGCAAAUCAGAAUGUUGCGGUGAAUACGUUCCCGGGUCUUGUACACACCGCCCGUCACACCAUGGGAGUUGGAAAUGCCCGAAGUCAGUGACCCAACCUAAGGGAGGGAGCUGCCGAAGGCAGGUUCGAUGACUGGGGUGAAGUCGUAACAAGGUACC
rnacentral:rRNA from 1 species